AUCUAUGGUGGCGUUGGCGGGGCAGCCUUCGGGCUGGCUGGUCUCCUUUACUACCAGUACUGCGAACCCUGUCAACGUCACCACCCUU
rfam:Providencia rettgeri DSM 1131 genomic scaffold Scfld6, whole genome shotgun sequence.